UCGAUUCAUAUCGUCAAAAAUUUUUGGUCUGUGAACUUCGUGCGGAUGAAAUUCGAUUUGAACGCGAAGAAAAAUAUGCAAAAUAAAGUGAAAUACCAGUGCCUCGCGGACGAGGAGCGCUUUACUGAAGCGUCCCGCAGCCAAUAAAUCGAAAAAGAGCCGCCUGAAAUCUGUAAAUUAAGCGGGAAAGGUGCGUUUUUCGUUUGGCGUUUUUCGGUGUGUGUGAAAAGUUUCUACUGCAAUCCAUUUUUCUCUACGUGCGUGUGCGGCAUACGUGUAUCAAUGUGCGCGUUAAACAACAACAAAUAUCAUUGUUUUGUGAUAGGGAGAGAGAGGAGGCGCUCCAGAUUGCCCGUGUGUGAGUAAGUGGGAAAGAAAACGCCAAGAAGUUGGCUGAUAAAGCAAUCUCACACUCGUACACACACCCCGCACACAAAAACACACGCAUGGAAAAUAGAAAAAUCGAAAAAUAAUAAUAAUCAGCAAGCAGGAAAAGAAGAAGCAGCAGCAGUAGUAGUACAAACAGCAAAAGUGUAGUUGUGAUCGAAAAUCGAAAGUGUGAAGCAUUUUCUAUAAAUAGUAGUGCAAAAUCAAAAUUAAAAUCAAAACCAAAUUCCCCAGUGCAAACAAAAACGCAAUAAAAACAAACAAAAUAACAAAUAUCAAGAUAUAGCGAACAAUAAAUAACAACGAUAUACAUAUCUGGUGUGGUCGAUCGAACUUACGGAGCGCGUGCUCUGCACCAAAUAGCAGGAUUAUCUGAAGGAUCGUCUAAGAAAAGGAUCUUCCAAGAUGUCCUCGCUGGACGCGCGCAACAAUUCGGCGAUGAUGAAGCGGGCGGAGCAACUGAAGCGGUGGGAUGAGUCCGAUACCAACCGCGCUGCGCCCACCCCUCGUCACGAGCAUGGACGUAGGAUUAAGUUUAGCUCCGGCUGCGUCUUCCUAGCUGCCUGCCUCUCCGGCGAUAAGGACGAGGUUGUCCAACUGCUCGACCAAGGCGCCGAUAUCAACACGGCCAACGUUGAUGGUCUCACUGCCCUGCAUCAGGCCUGCAUAGACGACAAUCUGGAUAUGGUUGAGUUUCUGGUGGAGCGAGGUGCCGACAUAAACCGACAGGAUAACGAGGGCUGGACGCCCCUGCAUGCCACUGCCUCCUGCGGAUUUGUGAGCAUAGCUCGGUAUUUGGUGGAAAAUGGCGCUGACGUGGCCGCUGUGAACAGUGAUGGCGAUCUGGCCUUGGACCUGGCCAUCGAUGUCCAGCACAUGGCCAUGAUCGACUACAUGGAGAAGAUGGUGCAGGAGCUGAACAUAAAUGUGGAUGAGGCUCGAAAGGCGGAAGAGGUGGCGAUGCUGAACGAUGCCAAAAAAUGGCUAAGAAGCGAUGCCGCCGAGGUGGAUAGACCGCAUCCGAAAACGGGAGCCACAGCCCUGCACGUAGCCGCCGCCAAGGGUUAUACGAAAGUUUUGGGCUUGCUCUUGGCUGGUCGUGGCAAUGUGGAUAGGCAGGAUAAUGAUGGCUGGACGCCAUUGCAUGCGGCAUCGCAUUGGGGUCAAAGGGAAACGGCCGAGAUGCUGGUGGAGUCAUUGGCCGACAUGGAUAUACGCAACUAUGCUGGGCAGUCAUGCAUCGAUGUGGCCGAUCGCAAAAUAGUCAAAUUCCUGGAAGAACUGCGGGCCAACAAGCGCAACAAGCGGCGACCAUCUAGUCAAAUCAGCAGAAUCUCAGAUGCGAUUGAAAAUCAUGUGGACAAGACGCCCACCAAGCUGGUGCGCGUUGAAGUGAGAACUGAUGCCACAAAGGAUGCUGAGAAUGUCAAGCCCAAUCAGCAGAUCCACGCCGCCGAGCAUCCAGUCGAGGAGGAGGCGCCUUGGCGACGCAAGCUGCCACGCACACCCAACGACAGUCCCACUAAUAAUCAAGUUCCUGAUAGAGAGCUUAGCAGCAAUAGCUCGGAGACCGCCAACGACGUCAUUUUGCGACGCACGCAAAGCUUUGAGAACGAUCAAAAAUUUUAUCAAAAGUACAAUGAGCUGCGGGCACGCAUAAAGGCCAAUUCCUGUCCCAUUUUGCCGGCGAAUGCUAAUGCGAACGCUAAUGCCGCUGCUGCCAACAAUAAUUCCAAUAACAAUAAUAAUCUAAGUAGUAAUAACAAUCAUAAUAACAACUAUAACAACAACAAAAGCGAUCUGCUAUUGGGAUAUGCUGCUGGCACAACAACAACAUCCAGUACAUUCAACAACACCCACUCGAACACCAACAACACUAGUACACCACCACCACCACAACAACAACAACCAGCAGCAGCAGCAGCAUCGGCAACGAAUCAGUUAUAUAGCGUACAAAGAUCGGCCUCUCUCAAAGAUAACUCAAUGUAUUACAGGAAACCGACCGUUACGAUUGCCACGCCUACAAGUGCAGCAGCUACUGCAAAUACGGCGCUUAAUUCUCCAUCGACAACCGUACAGACCCCACCAAUUCGCAGCCAAGUUACAGCGAAACAGGCUGAAAAGAGCAAUAAUGGUGGCUCGUCCACGGCCAGUGUCAGCGAUGUGGAGAGCUCUAAGCCGCCGGUCAAACAGUCCACCAGCAAUAUGAUCAAAAACUUCUUCAAAUCCUUUGUGCCACCAGUGCGCGAUGAGGAGAGUGAAACGCAGCGAAAGGCACAUGCCAAGCGCGUGAGGGAGACUCGCCGCUCGACACAAGGCGUUACCCUGGACGAGAUCAAGAGUGCCGAGGAGUUGGUUAAGAAGAAGAACAUGGGCAUGGCCAACAAUAAUAAUAACAAUAAUAUCAGCGCCACCACAACGAACACCAUUAGUAACAGCGGCAACGAAACAAGCUCAGCAUCAUCGGCAUCAUCAGCUCCAGCAUCAUCGAUCCUCGACAGCAGCGGCAGCAGUAAUGAGCAGCGGGACGAGUCGCAACCGCCACCACCGCCCACCACACCACCGCCAGCCAUAAUACCCACCACAACGACGGCCACCGAUGAAACGGAGAUCGAGGAGGUGGUGGUCACUAAUCCUCCAGCUGGCCAAAGUCUGAAUGAUACCACUGCUAGUUUUACCCUAUCCGCUCCGGUGCGAAGAUCCCUUUCGGGUGAGGCUGAUGCCAAUAGUGAUCCGGAGGGUGAUCAAGAUCAGACGGUUGUCAGUGCUAGCUAUACGAUAAUGCCACGGCGGGAUAGGCUACCUGAAAGCUCAGAGAAUGUAGAGAGCAACACUCCAAGAACUCCCCAAAAGACUGACCCAGUUGCCAAAAGUUCCAGCGAAGAGAAGAAGGCCGAUGAGCCAGUACAUGCCGCUAGGCCCACGGAUCUGCCAUUGAUACCAGCUCCUGCUGUUGCCAGCACAGAAGCUAUAAAAUCAACCUCGGCGGCCACCACGCCUGCUGCCCUCGAGAGUCCAGUGCGAUUGCGGGACAAGCGGAGUCUGUGUACCAGUCAGGAAUCGGAAACGAAGUCCGAUACCGCAUCGCCCGUGUCCUCACAUCCGGAUUUCAAUGCCCGGGACUCAUUACUAAGUCUAUAUGCCCGACGCACAACGGACGGGAACCCAGGGGGUGGUGGCGGUCCAAGUGGUACGAGUGGUGCUGCCUCAUCUACUUCAACUUCUGCAGCAGAACGUCGUCCGUCUUGGCGCCUGAAAUUCGAUGCCGGCUCCAAGUUCAAGUUGGAGGACAUUACCAGCGGUGGCACAUAUCCCCCCAACAACAGCACCAUCAUACCAAGUGCUCCGGCGGUGAUGGCAGCCGCCAAUUUAUCCACCACAACUGGUGUCCAGCGGCGCAUCAGCAGUGGUCCCAAUGCUCUUAAUGCUUCCAAUCAGUCGCUCAACUCUGUGGGUCGUCCUGUUUCCGCUCCUAGCGAGGCCACCAACAACAGUGCCUAUGUCACGCCCUCAGCUCGCAAGUACGAGACGAAUGCAACGCCAACGGGAGCAAAUACAGCAACGGCCACGACUACUAACUCAACCUCCAAUUCAGUGUCUGCAACCAGUGCCAAUCAUGCAGCAGCAACGGCAACUAAUGCCACGUCAAAUCAUGACGAUAAGGAUAACGACAAGGAGAACGAUAAUCGCACACAGACCAUCAUUCAGAGGCGACGCAAACCGAAGCGCAGAUCAACGGGCGUGGUGCACAUGGAUGAACUGGAUCCCGAGCGACAGAACGAAUCUUCUAACAACGACAACGAGGAGAAGGAAAAGGAGAGCGGCAGUGAGCGGACAUCUCGCUCCCGACUGGGCAGCACCGCGAGUACGGCCACCACUAGCGAGUCGAAGAGCUCCAGCAGCAAUGAUAAGACGGAGAACGGUGAUGGCAUUGACUACAAGGCGCUCUGGGAAGCGGCCAAAUUGGAGAAUGAUAAGCUGAAGCAAAUGCUCAAGCAGAAGGACGAUGAAGCCGUGCAGACACGUGCAACGCUCGAGAGAUUCGCCAAUGCCACAACGAAAAAUUCACUAUCUGAACUUGAGAAACGCGAAAGAAGAGCUAUGGAACGCAAGCUUUCCGAGUUGGAAGAAGAGCUCAAGCUAUUGCAGAAGCUAAAGACUGAGAACGACCGUCUGCGAGCCGAGAAUCGGGCCCUCACACGGGUCGUCUCCAAGCUGACCACCUCGGCUCAGAGUCAGCUGGCCAAGACCAAAUAGGCGCAGAUCAAAAGCAUUUAGAUUGCCCAGCACCAGCCCACAUAUGUUCACCCAAAAGAAAAAAAUCUCUCACGCCCCCUUUGCUCACAAGCACAAUGUCGCGAAGAUCGUUAUAUCGUUUCUAUUAGAGAACUGGAAAAACAUCGAUGUUCUUAAGCAGGUAAACAUCGAUAAUCAAAUAACAAUCGAUGUUUUUCCUGCUCUUAUUUCUUUUAAACAAUACUUAACACACUUCGAUGUUGUUAAAAAUAUUAUUAUUGAUAUAUAAGCAUAACCGAUUACACAAUAACUAAAUGUAUCGUAGCUAAAUUAAGUUCACAUUGAGCUCAUUGGCUUUGGACUGCUGGUCACUGGUAAUAUACACCUUAAACCUUACUACAAUAUACUAUAACUCCUUGGGAGUUAUUUAUAUACUACAAAACCUUUGAUAAUACCGCAAACUUGAAAAGUAGUUAAUUUUUGAAUAGAAAAAUAUUAAUCUCACGGCUUGUUUUCGGAAAACCUAAAAAUAUGCGCGCUAGGUGAAAAUGUUUGCGAAUUUAUAAUGUAAUUUAUAUCGGACUAUAUCAUUAUAUGGGACCUACAGACCAACCCACUGUACGGUUGAUAAGUACUUAUAAAUCAAAAGUUAGCCCACACACUCGAAUCAAAGCAAAGCUCAUCGAAACCAACGAGAUCAAUCAUCAAUGCCCCCACCACCAGCAAACAAUAAAAAUGAAAUGAAAAACAGCAUCAGCGGCCCAAGGAUCUGGAGGGUAGAUAUACGAGUAUAUAGAGUAUCCAGAAGUCGAUCAUCUGGGAGAGGCGAAGAAGUGGUCUUAGUUGGUGAUGCUGGAAGCUUAACGCAACUCGAUGCCUACAAGUUGGAUAAUCAUCGCCUGAAGGAGGAGAACGCAGCGUUGAUUAGAGUAAUUAGCAAAUUAAGUAAAUGAAAUUAUGUUCUAUUUUUUCAGUGUAUGUAUGUCUGAGAACCUACCUAUAUAUAUAUCAUCGAGAAGCAACAAUUUUACUUUAUUUACCAGCUGGAAAAAGGCUGAAAAAGAAAGAAAUAAGAGAAUGUUAAAGCAUAAUGCGAUGUAAGCAAAAGAGCGGGAAAUUCGCGUGAAAAUUUCAAAAUUUGUUUAUUAUUUGUGUUAGGCCGUUAAGAAUUAGGUGAAACCAUGUUUCAAAUAUCGUUGAGAAUUGUUUCGUUCGUUUUUAUAUAAAAAAAAAAAAGAAAUGAAAAAUUAAACUUAUGUAUUUGGUCAAAUUUUAUAUACGAAAUAGAGCAAAUUAUAAAUAAACUUACACAAAUCAAGCUUAACUAUAUAUAUAUUUACAUACAUAAAACUUACGUGAAAUGUAUGACGAUCAGAAGAGGAUCGCAGGAAAAUUAAAAACAAAAACCUUUACAUACAAACUGAGAACAUAUUCAUCAAAUGAGCCCUAGUUACAUUACAGAUUAGUUUAACUACAUGAUACAUAUAAAUAUAUAUAUAUUUUUUCAUAUAUAAAUUAUAUAUACACAUUACAUAAUACACACAUAUAUAUAUAUAUAUAAAUAUAUAUAUAUAUAUAUUUAAAGCAACAGAAUCAUAAGUUCAACAUUUCAAUGUAAUAUCAUCAAGGAUCCAGACCGCUAGUUCAGAGAGUCCGGAGAUGUGUCGAAACCAGCCCACGCGUCAACUUACUAAGUGUAAUCAUUAUCAUUCAAUUGUAAUUGUGUUUAGUACUGCAGAUAUAUAUAUUAUAUAUUAAUAUAUAUAGAUAUAUGGUGAUUCCAUCUAAAGCUAUAGUUUGUGUACCCUUUAAACUGAGGAGUCUUUAUAUCAAAAGCUCCAUGGCGCUAUCCUAUAUAUCAGAAUGGGUAUCAUUGCAGAUGCACUAUUAUUUCUAUUAUUUGAGUACCUUAAUUUAAGCAUACACUUUUAGUUCUCUCCUUCACUUCGAAACGUAUUAUAUACAUUUACAUCGUACUAUAUUUUACUUUCGCUUAUAACGAUACAAAUGAUCAUACGCAUAUUUCUGUUAUUUAUUAAAUUCGCUUAAGAGAUUUUGUGUUACUCAUAAAUGGAAACGAUAAUCAAGCAUAAACAAAUAUAAAAACGUGAAUUGUGUAAUAUGUAAAAUUGUGUGAGAAAAUAUUUAAGAAAAUUUGAUUCAAAUACGAAACUUAAUAAAUGUGAUCGCAAGCAAA